rnacentral:rRNA from 1 species
UACGAAGGGGGCUAGCGUUGUUCGGAAUUACUGGGCGUAAAGGGCGCGUAGGCGGCACGGCAAGUCGGGAGUGAAAGCCCGGGGCUCAACCCCGGAGGGUCUCUCGAAACUGCCGAGCUAGAGUGCGGAAGAGGCAAUCGGAAUUCCCAGUGUAGCGGUGAAAUGCGUAGAUAUCGGGAGGAACACCAGUGGCGAAGGCGAGUCUCUGGGCUGAUACCGACGCUGAGGCGCGAAAGCCAGGGGAGCAAACGGG